rnacentral:rRNA from 1 species
UACGAAGGGUCCAAGCGUUAUCCGGAUUUAUUGGGUUUAAAGGGUGCGUAGGCGGCUUAUUAAGUCAGUGGUGAAAGACUUCAGCUUAACUGAAGAACUGCCAUUGAUACUGGUGAGCUUGAAUGUAGUUGAGGUGGGCGGAAUGUGUCAUGUAGCGGUGAAAUGCUUAGAUAUGACACAGAACACCGAUUGCGAAGGCAGCUCGCUAAACUAUGAUUGACGCUGAUGCACGAAAGCGUGGGGAGCAAACAGG